ACACACACACACACACACACACACACACACAGACGCGCACACUCGUAAACCAAGAGUCAGAGGCUGGGCUCGACCUCCCUUCCUGUAACCCUCUUCAAUCCCGACUAGAAAGGCACAAUCUCUUCAUUACUGCUAUCUCAAACCUGUGCCCCAAGCGAGUGUUUCCACAGAGCUAAUUUCUGAAACAAACAAAGAAAAGCAACUGCGAGGAGCGAGGGUUUCCUCUCCCUUGCUUUGGAUUUGGGCAUCCAGGGUGACUGGCGCGGCACCGCUAACUGCCACGGGGCGCCCAGCUUCGCCCUAACCUUCCCCGCCCCGCCAGCCUCCGCUCCAGCAGCGCCAGAAAGUGCGAGCCGCCCAGCUCCUUUCCCCGCUCGCCUCCGGUGCCCCAGCCCCAAAAUCCCCGCGUUCGCACUCCACGGGCGCCACCGCUCUGCCGCCUCUGGCCAGUCAGAUGUCGGGCGCGGAGGUGCUCCGGGCACCGAGGUGCUGGCCGGGCUAACAAGUGUCACAGCGGACGCCUGCCCCGCUCCCGGAGCGCCGGCGGGACGGCCACAGGACGCCACCCUGGUGUGACUUCCCAACAAGGCCCAUUUUUAAGUACUGUAUGUGGCUGGCUGAAGAGUUAGAGGCUUCUGAGCAUUCUCCAGGGUCUUCUUGGCCUCAUCUGCACUGGACUUUGAAGCACCCCUGCUCAGUACAAGGAGACUCAAGCACCACCAGCCCCCCACCCCACUCCAUUUUCCUCCUUUUUGUGCAAUGUGACCUCAUCUGGAGGCCUUCAGGGAUAUGCGUCCAUCAUUCCCUGGACCACUCUAUCAGAAAGGAAAUUCUGUUUUCCCCAGAGUUUGUUUGAGCAAAGAAGACAGCAUUUACUUGUUUGACUAGUAAUCUAUAUAUCCCUCCUGAUCUUUAGAUGAAGUACUUAGCUAUGUCACCUAAUAGGAUUGUUACCAUGUGGGCUUUGAAGAUGACAACAUCUGGGUUCAAACUCUGGUUCUGCCACUUACUAGCUUGAGCAAAGUCUUAGACUCACUGAGCCUCAGUUUCUCCAUCUACAAUAAAAGUACUGACAGAGUGUUGUGAAUAUUAAACAAAGAUAUGUGUAUGCAUCUGGCAUAAAGUAUGUGUCACAAAAAUGAGUGUGAAUUGUUCACAUGAAGGAUGGAACUUAAGGUCUGCAAACUUUUUGCUUCCUUCACUGGAGAUAACUAAUCAGAAGUGACUUAUUCUGCUGGGAAAAUGUCUCAUUGUUGGCCCAAAGUUUAAACUUAUUUUUUUCAUUCCAAAUGGAGCAAUAAGCAAUGGAUUUCAUUAUUCAUUUCUGAUGUCUCACAGAAGAAUGUCAGAUUCUAUAUCUGCAGUUUGGAUGAUAAUAUUUGCCUUCAUAGAGCUUUAGUUUGAGAAAGUAAAACAUGGCUCUGUGAAAUAGAUUAUUUUCAUUAUUCCAAAUUGAUAGAUGAAGGGAUACUUGCUGUGACGGCACCACCCACCUCCAGACCACCGCCACCAUGUGCUGUACAGAAUCAGAAAAAGAUGGAGAGUUACAGCCAAGGCCCAGCCUGUUGGCAGGAGACAGAAGUAACUAUGAAGCGCAUUAUUCUGAAGAACAAACGUAAAGCUCCAGGUUCAGAACAGAAAUUGGAAAGUUGAUGGAUCAUUUGGAUUGUUAAAGCAUAACCAAUGGAGAAAACUCAGCAGGCAUGGCUGUUCACUAUCAUCUUCUUCAAUUCAGAGGCCUAGCUGCUUGCUGCUUCUUACAUCAGUAAAUCAAUCAGCAGGCAGGGCCUGAAACAAAAUGCUAACCCCCUUCUCCACCAAUAGGCCCAAGAGCCUGUUUGUGGACCUUCCAAAGUAGUUCGCCAUAUUAAGCAAUGAGAAAACCAGCUCUUGUAUUUUAUCAUUCCUGUAUGGCAUUAUGUAAUUCAAGAACCUGUUUGUGGACCUUCCAAAGUAGUUCUCUAUAUUAAGCAACAAGAAAACCAGCUUGUGUAUUUUAUCAUUCCAUAAUUCCUGCUUGCUAGUGAAAAGAGAAUACUGAUGCUGCAAAGAUCUUAAUCUGUUUGACAUCUAAUCUGAUCUGUUAUUUUAGACAUCUCUACUGUCUUUUUGCAAUAUUAAAAGACCUAUGGAUAAAAGAA